rnacentral:rRNA from 1 species
GAAGGAGGUAGGCGGCGGCGGUGUGCAACGGAGAGGAACAGGGGCAGAGACGGCGGUGCGGAGAGCAGAGGAGCAGGGACAGGAGGCUGAAGUGGAGGGGUGGAGGUUGGCUACUGUCACCGGGCUCUAGGUACCACUGUCACCAACGUCGCCGGGGUACCUUUGCCACCGGUUGGGAUCGGUGAUGCCACGCGGAGAUGACGAGUGUUGGUUACUAGUCCCGGUACCUAGACUGGUCCCCGGAGGGAGGAGGUAGAGGACCCGGUGCGUCGCCGGAGCGUUAGGUCUCUAAACCUCGUCGUUCGUAACCUGCUCGUCUCCUGCUGCUGGCACUGGACGUCCUCCGGGCUCGAGCUGGUGCGGCCGCUGCCACUAAGGGGUGUGUUCUAGUUGUCCUCGAGAGGCGGAGAGGUCAAUCAAGGUACCUGUCGCUGUUGGCUCUGGGGUACGAGCUCGGACUGUUCGACCCGCUCGAGCUGCUCCAGCAGGCGGGGCAGGAGGUAGGUGGUACUAAAGGGUGUCUAGUUCCAUUAUAACCCUUCGAUCGAUGAAGUACGACGUGUACUUUUACGGUACUGUACUACCAACGGUAGUCCUCCCGGGUUAUCCUUCUUAGAUUUAUAGUUGGAACUAUCAUACAUACAAGACAACUACAUUGUACUUAAAAUGAUUAAGGGUUUGCACUACACACUAUAUAAAAAAGUUAGAUAUAAAAUUCAAAUAGUAAAACAUUUCUUAAAACAUUUGAUGAUGUAACCUUUAUGUAUGUCUACACGUAUAACCAG